AGGUGCGGGUGAGAUCUCCAUCAACAGAUCUACAGGAAAGGCUGCAGCAAGAUAGAUCUGUGAGGUCUGUCUCCAUCUAUCUUCUUCCCUAUCUAGAACAUCCCGAUUCAAGAUCUAUAAAUUAAGAGACCUCGGUCCAGGCCUGACCUGGUUGGGUACCAGAUCUUAAAUUUUUUAAAGGUGAUUUCAGAGGCGUUCUUCAUCUGGAAUGAAAGGUUGACGAAGAAGACAGCAACCAGGCUGAUUUCGUCAAGGGCCUUCAAUGGUGUCCAGAAGUCUCCAGAUCUGUUCGUUGCUGGUUUUGCUGCACCCAAG
rnacentral:lncRNA from 1 species